GCCGGCCUAGCUCAGUUGGUAGAGCAUCUCAUUCGUAAUGAGGGGGUCGCAGGUUCAAGUCCUGUGGCCGGCACCA
rnacentral:tRNA from 1 species